CUCCCCGGCCGGCACAGUCAGCUUGUUGAGCUUGUCCAUGCUCCGCGCUACUCCGGCACCCGCCGGGACACGCUGUAUCGCCCCAACCCGGCACCUGCCGGCGCGGCCGCCCCCUCUGGCAGGCUCGACUCGGCUUCCUCCUACCGCCGUGCUCGGGCGCGGCGGAAACUUGUCCGAUUACUGCCUCGGCGGGGUUAAGCGGCGGCCGCCGUCGUACCGGGCUGCCGAAGCCUCUCCCCGUCCUACCCGCAGGCGCUGAUAGAGGAGGGACCCGGGGAUCGGGGCGCCCAGGCCAGCCCCUCCCGGCCCCGACGCCCGCCCCCUGUCCGGCGGCGCGCACAGGUGGCUGCAGUACCGGGAGCCAAGGUGGAGUCUUUGGAAAUGGGAACGCGAGGCCUCUGCUCCGCUCCUCCCUCUAGACCUGUUGCUGUGCCUUAGGGAAGCGCUGCCUCUGCCUCAGGGAAAGAUGUGCCGGCCGCUCGGCUGCCCUGGUGUGCAGCUGGUUGCGUUUAGCUCAGCUUCAGCGGGUUGUGGCCGGGCAGGCUAACCCCCUCCUCGCCGCGCCUCCAGCCCCAGGUGACUCUGCAGGCUGCGGGGGACAAUGCAGGCUUCCCUCUCCUACUCGCUCUGCGCUUCCUGGUGAAGAUGUGCGACAGAUGGUGGUUUCAGAGUCCAAACUUCUGGUCCUGCCUGUGGUUUUUAUAUAGUCUGUACUGAGAGGAACAAGCCACCACAUGCAGCUGGCAAGAAGGGCCCUGCAGACCUGCACCAGAGAUGGGACAGAUGUGCUCCUACCUGGGAAGAUCACUUGGAAGACCACUCUGCAGUGGUCUUCUGGAGCAUCAUCAUUCAAGCCCUUUACCUAACUGAGCUGUGAGGUCAUCGAGGCAUGGUCAAAGCAAAACUGGGUGGAACAAACUCUGUCCAAGACAUAGACCAAAAACUCCUGUAGCACAGAAACAAGGGAUCGGAAGACUUGUCUGAAACAUUUUGGUCAUUGAUUGUGACUAUGUUAAAUCUAGGGAACCUAAGGGCCUGUUUAAAAACUCUUUUGGAGUUCCUGAUCUGGGUUGGCAGCCGAAGCCACAUCCUGACUGCAAAGCAGGGUGAGGCUCAGUGAUGCAACCGCAUUUGCCCAUAGUUUCUUCUGCAUGACAAGAAACUCUAGGAAUGUGUUCCAGGCAGGAGCUGUGGCACACAGGACAGAUGGGCAGUCAAGCUGCAGGAAUGAGUGUGAAAAGUCCAAGCCAGUGCACAGAGGCUAGUCUAAAGUGAGAAGAAUGAAAUGUCUCUCCUGCAGAGAACAUUAAUGUGUGUCGACAACAUGCUCUAAAUUAAAUAUUGUAUUCCUUUAAAAAACUGAGAGGACUCCAGUUUGGAGAUUUGGAACAAAAUGAGCCAGGACAUUUGCUCUGUUUUGUGCCCAGUAUGUACCUGAGCUGGGGCAUAUAUGGAAUUCUGCUAAAAUGAGAUUAUAAAUUAAUAGUCUUUCACACUUCAUUGCUUGAAUGAGCCAGAAGUUAUUUUCUUCUGAGUUGGAGUCCCAGGUGCAGCUCUUUCCAACUACCAAAUAUGAUUUUCUAAAAGGGAAGAAAGACCAGUGAAUUGAAACUACAACAACCUCUUCUCUGUGGUCUCAGUACAGCCAUGUAAUAAAGAAAAGGAAAGCACAUCAACUGACAGGGUGAAAGAAGAAGAUUCUGUCCAUAUAUACAAUGAUGGUGAUGAACCAGUUUGGGCUACAGCUUCCAUUUCUGGUUCUCCUUCUGGCUUUGUGCACAAACUUCAGCUGGUCUGUGAUUUAAAAAGAUGACUUGUUUCUAUUUUUUUUUUUUUUGGUACCAACUUGAGAUGCUGUGCAACUCCUAUUACUAUUUAGGCUGGUCUAGAGUCAUACUAACAAAGAUAAAUAUUUCUACUUUCACUAAAACUUAAUGAGGUGAAGCUAUUGCAGACCUGGCUCUCUCUACAGAUGGAUCAGCCCAUGCUUUUUUUCUCAGAGGCUGAUCUACUCUUUCUCUUCAAAGAGUUAAAAGACAUCUAGUAUUAUUUAACAGUAGUUUGUUACACUUAUCAAAAGUGUCAGUGAUUUAUCUUGCUUAACAUUUCUAAAAAUGAGCAUAGUGUUUCCAAUAUCAAAGAAACACUUCUAUAAUUAUACUGUUAACUCACCCCCAAGUGCCAUUCUGUAGAUGCCUAAGCAUAGUAGGGUACCAUGAAAGAAAACUGGGCAAGACUGAAUAAUCUGAAAAUUUUCUAGUUUAGAAGUUGUUCUGAACAGGCUCUAUAACAGAGUGUGGUGGAAUAUCCUGGGGCUGAAGAAGAGGAGGAGGCUCUGGAGGUGGUUCAGGCUUGUAUUGAUUUAUAUUUUAUAUAUACAGACAUAAGCCAGUUAAAACUGCAAACUCUGUGUGCCUCUCUGUGUUUUCCUUACUGGGAUAGUGAGGGUAGGGAAGAUACUCAGACAACUUGGAAACUGGUUUCCAUCACAGGUGUUGGUAAGAAAAAUAGGGAUUUCUUCUGAUAUCUUCAUAUCCUAUCAGUUCUCUUUUGACAUCUGGAUAAUAUCGAUUGGUAUUUUACUGUUUGAGAGCAGGAUUAUAUUCAGUAAGAAAAGAUGGGAGAAAGGACAAAAUUAUUUUAUUUUAUUGGAGUUUGUGGGUGUAAUAUUCAUUAAAAUGGAAAAAAACCUCCAACUCUGACAAUGUAUCUGUAACCCUGAGUUGCCCUUCAGCUGAACAUGUUGCUAGCUUGAAUAGCUUCUAUAUUGGGUUUGCUUUUCAUCCCACCUAGAACGCCAUUAAUGUAACUCCACCCUGCAUCUCCAUGUCGAGUUUUGAAUGAUAGUUUGUUUGAAAAUGCCUUCUGUGUGGUUGCAGUUGUAGGAGAAUAUGAUGUACAGAAAUAGUUUCUACUUUGUACUAUUUUCUUUAUGUGUUAUUGUUGAUAAAAAGCAAUGCAUAAAAUACAAAUUCACUGUUUCUCUAUGGAAUUGUAUUAAAGGUUAUUUGACUUAAAUAGUGGACAGCAUAUUUUGCCAAAAUAGAAUAUAAUACAUUUUGGGCAAAUCCCAAAAAUAUGACAAAGCUUGAUAAAAUUGUAUUCCCUUAGUACUAAGAAAUGCCCAGUUACAGAUUUAUAGUAUUGGAAUGUGUCUGUCUGUAUUCACCUGACUAGGUAGUUUUUUUGACACGGAGCUGAGAUGGGAGAAGUGCUAUGAUAAAACUGUGGUCUCAGGUUCAGAUCCACGUGGUGUAUGGUAGUGCCACAAGGCAUCUAAAGCUGUGAUCUUUCCAUUCUUUCAUUGUUAAGCUUUCACAAAACAUUUCAAUAUAGAAUACCAGUUUGGCCUGGCUUUAGAUCCAAGAUAGCAUGGUGAACAGUUACAAGAGCAGAAGUGAGCUUCCUAAAAGGUCUUGGAACACAGUAUGCUCCUGAGCUGUGAGGGAUUUUCCUCCUCAAGUAACUGGUGUAAUUGCAAAAGUCUCAAUUGCUUAUGGCAGAAGGAAAUAAAACUGCCAUAAUGCAAGUGUCUGUUGCCCUCUUUCUGCUGCAGGGGUGUAAUAAUCUGUUGCCGUAAAAGAAAGCAAGAUGGUGCUGCUUUGCUGAGCAAAUAUUUCCUAGGUCCUCCUGUAAACAGGAGACUAUCCAGAAUUAAUUCUAAUCAGCAGGCAGUGGCUGCCUCUAAAUGUUUGAUGCCUGAGUAGACUUUUGUUAUAGCCUUUCUAUGCUAAAAAUGAGUAUAUAAUAUAUAAAAUAUUAUUUAAAGUCAAAUGCAGGUUGGUGGGUUUCCUUUUUCAUCCUUUGGAGUGUAUAUAACUACCAAGGAAGUGCCCUGUAUUAUGUUUUUAUGACACUAGAGUGCUUAUGUACUGGAAACCUCUUCAGAUCUCUUUUAGGUUUGGGUCAUCGCUGUGUGAAGAGGUAUCUAUCUUUUGAAUUUGCAGCCCUGGCCUUUUCCAGUUUUCGGAAUAAGUGGAGGUUUUUAAAAUGACAUUUAAGCUACAGCAAAAACUAAGGAAAGCAAGGAACUAAAUCUACACACUUAGGCAUAAAACUUUCAACCUGAUUCAGCACUGGUAUUUGAAGGAUAUAGGGUAAUUAAAAAUCCAUUAUAGUAUAUCCCAAGGAGAGGGGAAAACCAUUCCUGCUUACUAAGUGUUGGGAUAGCAGUCAUCUAUCACCUUUGCUUUUUCAGCUUGGAGCUUUCUCUGGAGUGGGACAAGUCCAAAUGCAAAUUGUGACAAGAUUUCUGUACUGCUGUACUUGCUUAAAGAGACAGUAAAAGCUCUUUCUCUUUAUUGUUUCUUAAGGAAACAGUGUAAUUCUCAUAGAAAUCUCAUUGGGUUUAUUAUUUUUUUUAUUAGGAUUUGUCUUUGGUUGAAAUAAAAAUGCAGGAGCAGGAAAUCAAAAUAUUUCUAAGUGAAACUGAAAGUAGAAUGUUGCACACCCUGCAUUUAUUAGCUAAGAAUAAAUUUAAUAAUAAUGACUAUGUAAUCUCCCCUCCAAACAGGAUUAGAAAUUUUCUACAUAUGCAAUUUGAAUGUCAUUGUAGCCUGUUAGAAUUCUACCGAUUUAUUUCUUGACUCCACUUUUAUUUUAUUCUUAAUUUUAAUUAUUGUCAUCCUGUUUAUGCCUUUAAUUAU